rnacentral:rRNA from 1 species
GACAGAGGAUGCAAGCGUUAUCCGGAAUGAUUGGGCGUAAAGCGUCUGUAGGUGGCUUUUCAAGUCCGCCGUCAAAUCCCAGGGCUCAACCCUGGACAGGCGGUGGAAACUACCAAGCUGGAGUACGGUAGGGGCAGAGGGAAUUUCCGGUGGAGCGGUGAAAUGCAUUGAGAUCGGAAGGAACACCAGUGGCGAAAGCGGCUUCCUGGUCCAGCACAGACGUUCAGGCACGAAAGCGUGGGGAGCAAACAGG